rnacentral:tRNA from 1 species
GGGGUUGCAGUUCAGUGGUAGAGCACUUGCCUACUAUGUAUGAGGCACUGAGUUUGAUUCUCAGCACCACA